GACCCACGCGUUCCCAUCUCGAACACGACCGUUAAGCCCUCCAGCGUCGAUGGUACUUGAACCGCAGGGUUCUGGGAGAGUAGAACGUUGCCA
rnacentral:rRNA from 1 species